rnacentral:sRNA from 1 species
GUCCAUGGAUCACAGAC